rnacentral:lncRNA from 1 species
AAAUUUGAGUUCUUUAUUUGCAGGAGGCAGUACAUGGUUGUAAUUUUAUAGCCAUAUUUCUUCUUUGUAAAACUUGGCUACAGAUAGGAAUACCAAAGCACAUGCUCAGAUUUUACUUUAGUGUAUAGUAUGGAAGACUGUAAAGGAAAGCUUAGGAAUUACUAGACUACCAGGGUACAAUUUGUCAAAGAUAGUUACAGGUGGACAGUACUAAGUCAGUAAAGUCAAAGUUGGGUGAAGAUUUCAGAAUAAAUUAACACAAUAUAGAACAAAGGUUGUUUGACCACAGUUUAUAUAUUUAAAUUAAAGGACAGCUAAGAUUCUGUUGUAGGAGAAAGAAGUAGAUUAAGCUUGUGCUUUCUGUUCUUUUGAGGCAGAGUUUCUAACCCAGACUGCCCUCUAACUUUGAUGUAGCUGAGGACGACCUUGUCCUGAUCCUCCACCUCCUGAGUGCUAGGAGCCUAAGCUUGUAUCACCAACCCCAGUUCAUGUGGAGCCCGGACUGGGCUCAGCUUCGUGCCUGUGAGGAAGGCACUGUACUAGCUGACCUGCAUCCUCUUAAGGAAUGAAAACGGGCUGGGGAGGUGCUCGGUGCUAACGUGUCGUGCAAGCAUGAGGUACCGGAGUUCAGAUCCUCAGGACCCGUAUAAGAUCCUGGCACAUGCUGGAACAGGUCUGUAGCUAAUCCCGUUACUCUACACAGGAGAGGAGAGCGAGAGAUUCAUUCCAGCGAGCUUUCAGACCAGUUUUCAUAGUGGGCAGAAUGGCAGCAACCGAGGCCCUUGUUACAAACAAGGUAGAGGGAGGCCUGACGCCUGUUGUUCUGUGCUCCUCUCACUUCAGGAAGUUUCCAGUUGUCAAAUGACUUGUUCAAAAGAUCAACAUUCUUUAGUACUACUAAGUAGUAAGUCACUUGAGCUAUAACUAUUACUGGUCAGGAAGUAAUGUCGAAGUCAGUUAUAUUCUCUGAAACUCUACCUUAAAUAAAACACUUCAUGACUGAAGCUUCAUUUAGAAUGAACAUAAUAGUACUAGAGAUUUUUAGUUGAAUUGGCCAUGAUUUAUCCAGGGACUCUGAAAAGAGAGGUGACAGUAAGCAUGUAUGUAGCUUCAGUGUUGAUUUGUUAAAAGAAAAAAAAAAGACUCCUUGGACACAUACCUAAAUUAUGUCUUGUAAAAGGAUGAAGGGAACAAAAAGGGUGUGACUCUGAUGUUGAAGGUGUCACAUUAAAAAGUAAUAAUUUAAAAUACAUACAUAGUCCAGUUUGCCAUAGAUGAUGUUUUUUCUUUGUUGUUGUGGACCUACUGUCUACUAUAAAAACGUAGGCAGCAAUAUUUCUAAGAGCGGGUACUAUAAAAAUGUCAAAAACACCAGGCAUGACGACACACACCUUUAAUGCCAACACUCAAGUGGCAAAAGCAGGAAGAUCCCUGAGUUUUGAGUCAGCCAGGGCUACACAGUCAGAUGUUAUCUU